rnacentral:RNase_P_RNA from 1 species
GGAGGAUGCAGGGCGGCCGCUGACGGCUUUAAAACCGUUGGAGGAAAGUCCGGACACCACAGGGCAGGGAGGCCGCUAACAGCGGCCGGGGGCGACCCCAGGGACAGGGCCACAGAAAACGAGACCGCCCAGCGCCACUUUCCGACACCAAGAUUUUCGCAGACGCGAGCCUUUGUGUUGGGAAGUGGCGCUGGGCAAGGGUGAAAUGGCGGGGUAAGAGCCCACCAGGGCGCCGGGUGACCGGCGCUGCUAGGCAACCCCCUCCCGGUGCAAGGCCAAAUAGGCGCCGAUUCAAGGACGGCCCGUCCUUACUUCCUCCUCGCGGAGGGAUGUCGGCGCGGGUUGGCUGCUCGAGGCCGGCGGCAACGCCGGUCCCAGAUGAAUGGCCGUUGCCCCUCACGGGGAACAGAAUCCGGCUUACGGCAUCCUCCGGCG